rnacentral:rRNA from 1 species
UGAGGAAUAUUGGUCAAUGGGAGCAAUCCUGAACCAGCAAUGCCGCGUGUGGGAUGAAGGCGCUUCGCGUCGUAAACCACUGUCGGACGGGACGAAAAGAGCUAUAAAGCUCCGAGACGGUACCGUCAAAGGAAGGAUCGGCUAACUACGUGCCAGCAGCCGCGGUAAUACGUAGGAUCCAAGCGUUGUCCGGAUUUACUGGGUAUAAAGGGUGCGUAGGCGGUCUUGUGCGUCAGAGGUGAAAUAUCCGGGCUUAACCCGGAGGGUGCCUUUGAUACGGCAGGACUUGAGUACGAGAGAGGAUGAUGGAAUUCCUGGUGUAGCGGUGAAAUGCGUAGAUAUCAGGAGGAACACCGGUGGCGAAGGCGGUCAUCUGGCUCGUAACUGACGCUGAGGCACGAAAGCGUGGGGAUCAAACAGG